CCCGCGGAGAGCCCGCUCUACGUACGCCGCGCGCAGCUCUGUCCGUAGGUCGCCAUGGCGAGGCCGCGGGAAGAGGUGGUCUGCGGAAGGACAAGAAGCGCAGUCAGCGGGAGCCCCCGCCGCCAGCCCCGGGCUGUCUGCCGCGCCUGUUCCCCACAGCGCCGCCCGCCGCCCGCUCCAACCUGCUCCGCAACGGCCACGGCCACCAACGGCACCCCCGCCCCCUAGGUGGGCCGCCUCGGUCCGUCGGCGGGGGCCGGAGAGGCAGACGCCGCGGGCCCUCCGGUCAGGCAGCUGCGCGGGCAGCCCCCGACGCGAGGGGGCGGGGAACGGCGGGUGUAACGCGGUGGGCGCCGCGCGGGGGGGGGAGGGGCGGAGGCCCCGCGCGCGCUCGUCACGGGGGGCGGGGCGCCUGGCGCGUGUGCGCGCGCGGGAGCGACUGGGCGCGGCCGCACACCCUGCGGGUCACGUACGCUCUCCGACUCCCUUUCCGGGCUGUGGCUCCCAGACCCUGCAGACCGCCCCGGGGUAGGGCAUCUGCAAGGGGUCCGUGAGCGUUACUCCCAUUGCCCUGAGCGAGGGCGACGUGCGCUUCUAAAGCAGCCGCUCUCUCCAGACCCGGGAGAAACGAGUGGGCACCGGGACAUCCUUCCAGCCCCUGGCGCCCGCCAUCCCUUCAUCCGCCUCCUAAGGCGCUGUAAUUGCCUGCGCCGGGCGGGACUCCGCCCGAGAGGCUCUCCGGGGCUGCCCCUCCCUGAACAAACUGGGGUGCGUCUCUGGGUGCCCCGCCCCCUUCUCGGGCUCACGCCGCUGGGCUCCUCUUCCGCCGCCGCCUCUCGGUCCAGCGAUGGGACUGCCCUACACAGGGACGAAGCCAGAGCUGUCCUGGGGAGCCACGCCGGCUACCAAACAGGAAUCCUGCCGACCCGGCCUGAGAACGCUGCAUCGGCUGCCUGGGUGUGCAGAAGAGUGAAGGAGCCGAGGGAACGAGAACAAAUGAGCCUUCUAAUGAGACAGAAAUGGAGUCAACUGGGCCUCCCAAGUCAAUCUCCAAUCUCAGCAGCUUAUCCACUCCGGACCCCAGUUUUCUCAUCUAUAAAAUGACAACUUUAAAUGAGA